rnacentral:rRNA from 1 species
UUCAGACUGCAGGCUGCAACUCGCCUGCACGAAGUCGGAAUUGCUAGUAAUCGCGGAUCAGCAAGCCGCGGUGAAUACGUUCCCGGGCCUUGUACACACCGCCCGUCACACCAUGAGAGUCGGGAACACCCGAAGUCCGUGUCUAACCGCAAGGGGGGCGCGGCCGAAGGUGGGUCCGGUAAUUGGGGUGAAGUCGUAACAAGGUAAC